AGCAUUCACUACUGUAAGUCGCUCUGGAUAAAAGCGUCUGCUAAAUGACUGAAA
rfam:Salmo salar isolate Sally breed double haploid chromosome ssa02, whole genome shotgun sequence.